rnacentral:tRNA from 1 species
GGGAAGGUGGCUCAGUGGUAGAGUGCUUGCCUUGCAUGCAUGAGGCCCUGGGUUCGAUUCCUCAGCCCCCA